GAUGAACGCUGGCGGCGUGCCUAAUACAUGCAAGUCGAGCGAACAGACGAGGAGCUUGCCCCUCUGACGUUAGCGGCGGACGGGUGAGUAACACGUGGAUAACCUACCUAUAAGACUGGGAUAACUUCGGGAAACCGGAGCUAAUACCGGAUAAUAUAUUGAACCGCAUGGUUCAAUAGUGAAAGACGGUUUUGCUGUCACUUAUAGAUGGAUCCGCGCCGCAUUAGCUAGUUGGUAAGGUAACGGCUUACCAAGGCGACGAUGCGUAGCCGACCUGAGAGGGUGAUCGGCCACACUGGAACUGAGACACGGUCCCGACUCCUACGGGAGGCAGCAGUAGGGAAUCUUCCGCAAUGGGCGAAAGCCUGACGGAGCAACGCCGCGUGAGUGAUGAAGGUCUUCGGAUCUUAAAACUCUGUUAUUAGGGAAGAACAAAUGUGUAAGUAACUAUGCACGUCUUGACGGUACCUAAUCAGAAAGCCACGGCUAACUACGUG
rnacentral:rRNA from 1 species